AGAGUUUGAUCCUGGCUCAGAACGAACGCUGGCGGCAGGCUUAACACAUGCAAGUCGAACGCACCGCAAGGUGAGUGGCAGACGGGUGAGUAACGCGUGGGAACCUUCCCUGUGGUACGGAAUAACUUCGGGAAACCGAAGCUAAUACCGUAUAUCUCCUCCGGGAGAAAGAUUUAUCGCCAUAGGAUGGGCCCGCGUUGGAUUAGCUAGUUGGUAGGGUAAUGGCCUACCAAGGCGACGAUCCAUAGCUGGUCUGAGAGGAUGAUCAGCCACACUGGGACUGAGACACGGCCCAGACUCCUACGGGAGGCAGCAGUGGGGAAUAUUGGACAAUGGGCGCAAGCCUGAUCCAGCCAUGCCGCGUGAGUGAAGAAGGCCUUAGGGUUGUAAAGCUCUUUUGGCGGGGACGAUAAUGACGGUACCCGCAGAAUAAGCCCCGGCUAACUUCGUGCCAGCAGCCGCGGUAAUAC
rnacentral:rRNA from 1 species